CCCAGACUCCUACGGGAGGCAGCAGUGGGGAAUAUUGGGCAAUGGGCGCAAGCCUGACCCAGCAACGCCGCGUGAAGGAAGAAGGCUUUCGGGUUGUAAACUUCUUUUCUGAGGGACGAAGAAAGUGACGGUACCUCAGGAAUAAGCCACGGCUAACUACGUGCCAGCAGCCGCGGUAAUACGUAGGUGGCAAGCGUUAUCCGGAUUUAUUGGGUGUAAAGGGCGUGUAGGCGGGAAUGCAAGUCAGAUGUGAAAACUAUGGGCUCAACCCAUAGCCUGCAUUUGAAACUGUAUUUCUUGAGUGCUGGAGAGGCAAUCGGAAUUCCGUGUGUAGCGGUGAAAUGCGUAGAUAUUAGGAGGAACACCAGUGGCGAAGGCGUCUUACUGGACCGAAACUGACGUUGAGGCUCGAAAGCGUGGGGAGCAAACAGGAUUAGAUACCCUAGUA
rnacentral:rRNA from 1 species